rnacentral:misc_RNA from 1 species
GAUGAAGAACGUAGCGAAAUGCGAUAAGUAAUGUGAAUUGCAGAAUUCAGUGAAUCAUCGAAUCUUUGAACGCACCUUGCGCCUUUUGGUAUUCCGAAAGGCACACCUGUUUGAGCGUCAUGAAUACCUCAAUCUCCAUCUUUUCUUCGGAUUGAUGGGUGACUUGGAUGUUGAGCCCUGCUGGUAUGCUAUAUCAGCUGGCUUUAAACUUAUUAGCCGGUUCUGUACUGGAUCGGUUUGACUCGACGUGAUAAUAUUAUCGUUGAGGAUGCAUGUCUCAUGCAGCCGGAAAGUAUCAAAGCAGCUUCUAGCUUGCCUUUAGUGCACUUUUACAUUUUAGACCUCAGAUCAGGUGGGACUACCCGCUGAACUUAAGCAUAUCAAUAAGCGGAGGA